CAGCAGCCACGGUAAUACGUAGGGUGCAAGCGUUAAUCGGAAUUACUGGGCGUAAAGCGUGCGCAGGCGGUUCGUUAAGACAGAUGUGAAAUCCUCGGGCUUAACCUGGGAACUGCAUUUGUGACUGGCGGGCUAGAGUAUGGCAGAGGGGGGUAGAAUUCCACGUGUAGCAGUGAAAUGCGUAGAAAUGUGGAGGAAUACCGAUGGCGAAGGCAGCCCCCUGGGCCAAUACUGACGCUCAUGCACGAAAGCGUGGGGAGCAAACAGGAUUAGAUACCCCUGUAGUCCCUGUCUCUUAUAC
rnacentral:rRNA from 1 species